rnacentral:rRNA from 1 species
GAGAUUUUCGCAAUGCCCGAAAGGGUGACGAUGCGACGCCGCGUGGAGGAUGAAGGCCUUCGGGUUGUAAACUCCUGUCAGGGCAAAAGAAGGGGAGGGGAGGAAACUCCCUGACCUUGACUCAGCCCAAAGGAAGCCCCGGCUAACUCCGUGCCAGCAGCAGCGGUAAGACGGAGAGGGCGAGCGUUGUUCUGAAUUACUGGGCGUAAAGAGCGCGUAGGCGGGUCCGUAUGUCAGGGGUGAAAGCCCCCGGCCUAACCGGGGAACUGCCUCUGAAACUGCGGUCCUCGAGUGGAGCAGGGGGGAGUGGAACUCUCGGUGGAGCGGUGAAAUGCGUUGAUAUCGAGGGGAACGUCGGCGGCGAAGGCGACUCCCUAUGCUUCUACUGACGCUGAGGUGCGAAAGCCAGGGGAGCGAACGGGAUUAGAUACCCCGGUAGUCCUAGCCGUAAACGAUGGGCACUAAGUAGAGGGGUUUUA